rnacentral:rRNA from 1 species
CAGCCGCCACGGGAAUACGUAGGUGGCAAGCGUUGUCCGGAAUUAUUGGGCGUAAAGGGCUCGCAGGCGGUUUCUUAAGUCUGAUGUGAAAGCCCCCGGCUCAACCGGGGAGGGUCAUUGGAAACUGGGAAACUUGAGUGCAGAAGAGGAGAGUGGAAUUCCACGUGUAGCGGUGAAAUGCGUAGAGAUGUGGAGGAACACCAGUGACGAAGGCGACUCUCUGGUCUGUAACUGACGCUGAGGAGCGAAAGCGUGGGGAGCGAACAGGAUUAGAUACCCCCGUAGUCCCUGUCUCUUAUAA